GAAAACCAAAAAUAAAAUUAUACAGGAAUAGUGUGGUUAUUGUGUGGUUAGCGGGGUGUGGUGAAUGUAUUACGAUAGUCUAGUCUCAAGGCCAUUGGCGACGGGAUACGCAAGAAUAAUAACACGUGGCGCGUGGAGAGUUACAAACAUACAUACAUACAGGUGAAACUAAUACAGCGUGUUAAUAAAAUUAUACAGGAAUAGUUUUGCCGUCGUGUGGUGUGCGGAGUGGGGUGAAUGCGUUACGACAGUCUAGUCUCAAGGCCAUAGACGACGGGAGAACACGUGGCGCGUGGAGAAUUACUAACAUACAAAUAUACAUACAUACAGAAAAUCUGACAAAUUCAAUUUAACAAGAUAAUGUUACUAAUUUUCAAAGAUAUUCCGUCCCGAAUGGGCCAAAAUGUGUAGCGAUGACGAUGCUUUUUUAUCAAGCGCAUAUAUGCCGCCGGUCUUUAGCGAUAUAAGAAUCAGUGAUAUCUACAUGCGCCUUUUUAUACGAACAAGGAAAUAUAUGGGAGUCUUAAAUAAAUCGAUAAGCAAAAAUACGUCCACGCUCUUUUUUGAAUAAGGCGAUAAUGCAAACCAAAUAAUAAUGAAAACCACUCGGAUUUCUCUUAAAAUAAUAAUUAUA